CCCUUGGUCGGCGGUCAAGUUUGAUUCGUUAGUUGCAGUUUAACCAAAACAGGAUGGUUGCAGUUAAAGAACAAAAAAAUUAGAAUGACAGAGUGUGAGCGAGGGCUGUGCAAGGGCACGGCGCUCAGCCAAUCGCAAGUUGCGCCGCAUCCAGGGAACGUUCUGAAAUGGAAUGCUGCGUGACGUCAUCGCACCAAUCAGCGCAAGGCGUGGGCGGGGCUUGACGUGGAGUAAAGUCGAGAGUUGAAAGGAACAGAUGAGGAAUCGUAGUCUGAGUCCUAGCGGCUCUGAUUCUGGGAGGAAAUUAGCCCACGUACACUGGCCUAAAAGAAACUUGCAUUUCCUCAAAAAUGUAUCCCCUGUCUCAACAUCUCCGGUUGCUGGAGGGUGGGAUGGGGAGGUGUGACUUUUUAAACAACGAAUCUUGCUCUCCAACAUCCUGCAGUUUGAUUUUACACCACCCCACCCCCGCCCCCCAAGAGUGCUGAGUGCUAAAGCAGUCUAACUACAGUCCAAGGUGCAACAGCUCAAGUCAGUGGAACAGCGUUUACGGAAUUAUUCAUGACAUAUGAAAAUUAAUGUGAUUUCAGCCCCAUCCCCCUCCUAAGCUUGGAUCCACACUUCCGAGUUCAGACUGCACAACGUAAUGUUCCUCCUAACUUGGCAUCAACUGUAAACAAGAAUCUAAAGCUCGAUAUUCCUCGAUGAAUGUAAUUUUUGAAUAAUGGGAGGGUUGGAAGUGAAUUUAUGUGAAGAAAAUACUUUAAUUUCUACGAAAUGCUCUCUACCUUAAUUAAAUCCAAACCACCUCUGUGGUAAACAUAUUACACUUCUGCAUAGUAAUAUUCUUCAAGUAUUCUCUAUUUCCACUCAACAAUAAUAUGUAUAUUCAUGUGGGUUUAAAAAAAGCCUUUCUCAGCAUCUGACACAAGAUCGCAUACAGAAUUGAAGUAAUGCCUCAAAUUUAAUUUUUUGAAUUCCAACUUCUGAUGAAGCAGUGAAUAUAAAAGCAUUUUUGACAUAAUUUUAAGUUAAAUGAAAAUUCAAAUAAUGGAAUAAUGUAAACCCCUGAUAUGCUUUUUAUUGUUUAGAUGUUCAAGUUAUUGUAUAGUAUUUUUGGCAUUAUUAUGCCAAUUCUAUCAAUGAUGCUAGGCUUGGGAUACUGAACUAUCGCAUACAUUUUGUAAUGUUUGUUUUACAAGCACUAGUAAAACCAAAGAAGUUCUCAUGUCCAUUCCAUAUUCAGUAUUUCUAAACUUUAACAACUGUGUACAAUGUAAAAAUUAAUUUGCAGAAAUAAUGGUUUUUUAGUCUAUUCUUUCUCUCAAUUAAUGAUUCCAGUGUUGGUUAAUUAGACAGAAAGAAAGAAAAUGCACUUA